rnacentral:rRNA from 1 species
CCUACGGGUGGCAGCAGUGGGGGAUAUUGCACAAUGGGGGGAACCCUGAUGCAGCGACGCCGCGUGGGUGAAGAAGCGCCUCGGCGCGUAAAGCUCUGUCAGCAGGGAAGAAAAUGACGGUACCUGAAGCAUAAGCCACGGCUAACUACGUGCCAGCAGCCGCGGGAAUACGUAGGGGGUAAGCGUUAUCCGGAUUUACGGGGUGUAAAGGGGGCGGAGACGGGGAUGCAAGUCAGGAGUGAAAGCCAGGGGCCCAACCCCGGGACUGCUCUUGGAACUGCGUGGCUGGAGUGCAGGAGGGGCAGGCGGAAUUCCUGGUGUAGCGGUGAAAUGCGUAGAUAUCAGGAGGAACACCGGUGGCGAAGGCGGCCUGCUGGACUGCAACUGACGUUGAGGCCCGAAAGCGUGGGGAGCAAACAGGAUUAGAUACCCUUGUAGUC